rnacentral:lncRNA from 1 species
GAGUCCGGGUGAGUAGGAGAAGAUGGCGGAGGCAACGGACGGGUCGCGGUUGCGUGGCGUCGCCCACCACGACCCACUCCACGGGCUCUGAGGCCCGGGGAGCGCCAGGUCACUCGCUCCGUCCUGUCCCCCGCCCCUGGGCUUCGCCAUUUUUCCCCAGGGCCUGGGUCGGGGAGUUGGUGCGGGUUUCUUUGGUGUCCCCGGCCUCUUCCGCGCUUAGGCUUUUGGGGUACGGGAAGCAAGGAGUCAACUUGGGUGCCGGGCCGGGUCUACGCCGUAGCCCUCUUUCGGGCGCAAGGGCCACUCCCCCCGGGGUCUGAGAGUGAAUCAGCCCAGGGCCCGGCUUAACUGCAUCGGUGAUUAUCGCUACCCUGCAGUUCCUUGAAGGUCCUCCGUCCUGGAGCAGUAAGAUCCUUGACGUAACUAGAAAUGGCAGGAUGAAGUUUCACUCUUGUCACCCAGGUUGGAGUGCAAUGACGUGAUCUCGGCUCACCGCAACCUUUGCCUCGUGGGUUCAAGCAAUUCUCUUGCCUCAGCCUCUCAAGUAG